rnacentral:misc_RNA from 1 species
AUUUCCCACAAAGUUGAGGAGAUGAUGUUUCAAUUGGUGUGUGAUCCAUCUGGAGUGGUAGUGGAAACAACAAUCAAGGAACUUGUUCCAGCUUUAGUAAACUGGGGGAAGGAAUUGGAUCAUUUACUACAAGUCUUACUAUCUCAUGCUUUGGGCUCUGCUCAGCGUUGUCAACCACUUUCAGGGGUGGAAGGUUCUAUCGAGUCACAUCUUCGUGCUUUAGGAGAGAGAGAGCGAUGGAACAUAGAUGUUCUGAUGCGCUUACUGUCGGAGUUGUUUCCAUUUGUACGCAAGAAAGCUAUUGAUACCUGUCCAUUCCCAUUGGUUUCGGACGAUGAAAGACUAGUCUUUUCUACUUCAGUUCUUGAACAGUAUGCUGGAGGAAAGAUGGACUGGCCUUCUUUUGAGUGGUUGCAUAUCGACUGCUUUUCAGCGUUGAUUGAACUAGCCUCUCUAUUACCUCAGAAGGAAGAUAACCUAAGGAAUCGAAUCACGCGGUUUUUAUUGGCAGUUUCAGACCUGCUCGGGGAACCUUACCUGACACACAUCAUGCUACCUGUAUUCUUGGUGGCAGUUGGUGAUGAUGGUGAUUUAUCAUAUUUCCCUGCAACGUGCCAAUCAAGAAUAAGAGGUUUGAAACCGAAAACUGCAGUAGCUGAAAGACUUGCUACCAUCGGUGUCCUGCCUCUUCUGCUGGCUGGUGUUUUAGGAUCUCCUAGGAAGCAUGAACUACUGACAGAGUACUUGAGAAAUCUCUUGAUUCAAACUUCAGGACAAGAGAGUCAGACAGUGAAGCGCGAGAUUUUCUUUUCUGUUCGCUUUCUUUGCACUUUCGAUGAACAUCACAAUAUGAUUUUUAACAUCCUCUGGGAAAUGGUUGUGAGUUCUGAAAUAAACAUGAAGGCAACAGCUGCCAAUCUUUUUAAAGUCAUUGUUCCAUGUAUUGAUGCCAAGGUUGCCUCAACACAUGUUUUGCCUGCUCUUGUAACGCUUGGUUCUGACCAAAACUUGAAUGUGAAAUAUGCCAGUAUUGAUGCUUUUGGAGCUGUGGCGCAGCAGUAUAAAAAUGAUGCGAUUGUUGAUAAA